rnacentral:rRNA from 1 species
CCUACGUGAGGCAGCAGUGGGGAAUAGUGGGCAAGGGGCGCAAGCCUGACCCAGCAACGCCGCGUGCAGGAAGAAGGCUUUCGGGUUGUAAACUUCUUUUCUCAGGGACGAAGCAAGUGACGGUACCUGAGGAAUAAGCCACGGCUAACUACGUGCCAGCAGCCGCGGUAAUACGUAGGUGGCAAGCGUUAUCCGGAUUUACUGGGUGUAAAGGGCGUGUAGGCGGGAAAGCAAGUCAGAUGUGAAAACCAUGGGCUCAACCUGUGGCCUGCCUUUGAAACUGUUUUUCUUGAGUACUGGAGAGGCAGACUGAAUUCCUAUUGUAGCGGUUAAAUGCGUAGAUAUUAGGAGGACCACCAGUGGCGAAGGCGGUCUGCUGGACAGCAACUGACGCUGAGGCGCGAAAGCGUGGCGAGCAAACAGGAUUAGAUACCCCGGUAGUC